rnacentral:lncRNA from 1 species
GAAUUACUUAAAAUUUAUAUUUAGAAAAUGUAUGUAUUUUCAGCAUUGCUGUAGACAAACAUCUAUAUAAGACUGUUCAAUUGAUUGUUGUCUUAUAUCAAACAACUUUUGUAAUACUCAUUUUUAUUGUUAAAAUAUUUUAUAAAUUUUAAAGAAUAUGAUAAAAAACAAAAGGUAUUGUAAGUUAUGGUGGCGGGGGGGGGGUGGAACUGUCUGGGGGGAGUUGGAGUACAAAAGGGAAAGAAGAAUGUGUUGUAAGUCUAUUUACUCAAAAUAUGUUUUUAAAUGUAACAAAUACAGAUAAAUUGAAAUUAUGUAUCUUUUCUCUUCAUAAUGCAAUAAAAGUU